rnacentral:rRNA from 1 species
UGGGGAAUUUUGGACAAUGGGGGAAACCCUGAUCCAGCCAUCCCGCGUGUGCGAUGAAGGCCUUCGGGUUGUAAAGCACUUUUGGCAGGAAAGAAACGUCGCGGGUUAAUACCCCGCGAAACUGACGGUACCUGCAGAAUAAGCACCGGCUAACUACGUGCCAGCAGCCGCGGUAAUACGUAGGGUGCAAGCGUUAAUCGGAAUUACUGGGCGUAAAGCGUGCGCAGGCGGUUCGGAAAGAAAGAUGUGAAAUCCCAGAGCUUAACUUUGGAACUACAUUUUUAACUACCGGGCUAGAGUGUGUCAGAGGGAGGUGGAAUUCCGCGUGUAGCAGUGAAAUGCGUAGAUAUGCGGAGGAACACCGAUGGCGAAGGCAGCCUCCUGGGAUAACACUGACGCUCAUGCACGAAAGCGUGGGGAGCAAACAGGAUUAGAUACCCUGGUAGUCCACGCCCUAAACGAUGUCAACUAGCUGUUGGGGCCUUCGGGCCUUGGUAGCGCAGCUAACGCGUGAAGUUGACCGCCUGGGGAGUACGGUCGCAAGAUUAAAACUCAAAUGAAUUGAC